AACUCACCAGUGCCGACGGACAGAUGAAAGCCAGUGUGAUGAGCUUGCUGGAUUGUUCGAGAGGUAGUGCAUGGCCGCCGUCAGUUCGUACCGUAAGGCGUUCUGUUAAGUCAGAUAACGANCGAGACCCUCAUCCCUAUUUGCUAAGGUUUCUCCCUUCGGGGCGAGAUCACAGGACUAUAGGGAGACCGCUGGCGAGAAGUCAGAGGAAGGUGAGGGCAACGGUAGGUCAGUAUGCUCCGAAUGCACUGGGNUACACGCGCAAUACAAAGGACGGGACAAUGGGCCGCUGCUCCGAGAGGAAAGAUGGCUAUCCCGAAACCCGUUCGUAGUUCGGAUUGAGGGCUGUAACUCGCCCUCAUGAAGCUGGAUUAGGUAGUAAUCGCGUGUCAAAAAGGCGCGGUGAAUAUGCCCCUGCUCCUUGCAC
rnacentral:rRNA from 1 species